GAUGAACGCUGACAGAAUGCUUAACACAUGCAAGUCUACUUGAUCCUUCGGGUGAUGGUGGCGGACGGGUGAGUAACGCGUAAAGAACUUGCCUUGCAGUCUGGGACAACGUCUGGAAACGGACGCUAAUACCGGAUAUUAUGAUUGAAUCGCAUGAUUUAAUUAUGAAAGCUAUAUGCGCUGCGAGAGAGCUUUGCGUCCCAUUAGUUAGUUGGUGAGGUAACGGCUCACCAAGACGAUGAUGGGUAGCCGGCCUGAGAGGGUGAACGGCCACAAGGGGACUGAGACACGGCCCUUACUCCUACGGGAGGCAGCAGUGGGGAAUAUUGGACAAUGGACCAAAAGUCUGAUCCAGCAAUUCUGUGUGCACGAUGAAGUUUUUCGGAAUGUAAAGUGCUUUCAGUUGGGAAGAAGAAAGUGACGGUACCAACAGAAGAAGCGACGGCUAAAUACGUGCCAGCAGCCGCGGUAAUACGUAUGUCGCAAGCGUUAUCCGGAUUUAUUGGGCGUAAAGCGCGUCUAGGCGGUUUGGUAAGUCUGAUGUGAAAAUGCGGGGCUCAACUCCGUAUUGCGUUGGAAACUGCCAAACUAGAGUACUGGAGAGGUAGGCGGAACUACAAGUGUAGAGGUGAAAUUCGUAGAUAUUUGUAGGAAUGCCGAUGGGGAAGCCAGCCUACUGGACAGAUACUGACGCUAAAGCGCGAAAGCGUGGGUAGCAAACCAGG
rnacentral:rRNA from 1 species